UGGGGAAUUUUGGACAAUGGGCGAAAGCCUGAUCCAGCAAUGCCGCGUGUGUGAAGAAGGCCUUCGGGUUGUAAAGCACUUUUGUCCGGAAAGAAAUCCUUGGCUCUAAUACAGUCGGGGGAUGACGGUACCGGAAGAAUAAGCACCGGCUAACUACGUGCCAGCAGCCGCGGUAAUACGUAGGGUGCAAGCGUUAAUCGGAAUUACUGGGCGUAAAGCGUGCGCAGGCGGUUUGCUAAGACCGAUGUGAAAUCCCCGGGCUCAACCUGGGAACUGCAUUGGUGACUGGCAGGCUAGAGUAUGGCAGAGGGGGGUAGAAUUCCACGUGUAGCAGUGAAAUGCGUAGAGAUGUGGAGGAAUACCGAUGGCGAAGGCAGCCCCCUGGGCCAAUACUGACGCUCACGCACGAAAGCGUGGGAGCAAACAGGAUUAGAUACCCUGGUAGUCCACGCCCUAAACGAUGUCAACUAGUUGUUGGGGAUUCAUUUCCUUAGUAACGUAGCUAACGCGUGAAGUUGACCGCCUGGGGAGUACGGUCGCAAGAUUAAAACUUAAAUGAAUUGACGGGGUCAUAGCUGUUUCCU
rnacentral:rRNA from 1 species